ensembl:snoRNA Y105C5B.1419 ncRNA
ACACUCGAUGUGCACAGUCACAGAAAACAUACGCAUAAAAAAGCAAAAAAAGAAAAGACGGGAGAAAACCAUCCCUUGUUUCCUUUUAUGUUGUGCUGUUUUCUCAAUCUUUUUCGAGAUGAUUAUUUUUCGA